rnacentral:rRNA from 1 species
UACGUAGGGUGCGAGCGUUGUCCGGAAUUAUUGGGCGUAAAGAGCUCGUAGGCGGUCUGUCGCGUCGGUCGUGAAAACUUGGGGCUUAACCCUGAGCUUGCGGUCGAUACGGGCAUGACUGGAGUUCGGUAGGGGAGACUGGAAUUCCUGGUGUAGCGGUGAAAUGCGCAGAUAUCAGGAGGAACACCGGUGGCGAAGGCGGGUCUCUGGGCCGAUACUGACGCUGAGGAGCGAAAGCAUGGGGAGCGAACAGG